UUGUGCUCUUUGGGCAAGUAAGAUUCAAGGUUUAGCUCUACCUUUUUCUUCCGUAUCCAUUUAUUUUGAAAAAGUUGUAUGAUCAUCCGUAUUAACUUCCUUGUGUUUUCUAAUCAAAGUUAGAAUUGAAUCAACCAUUCACUUUUUAACCUCUCUUUGCCUGCUGGGUUUUAGUUUGAUUGUGAUAUUGUGUAUGGAAACUGCUAAAGUUUUUUAAUUGAAUUGAAUGUAAAACUUGAUGAUUGUUUGAUAUUGUUAUAUGUGUUUCUAUCUAUUUUUUUUGUUUCAUUGUAUUGUUCCUGAUUUAGUGAGAACAAUAAAGGUAGUGAAACUUAGAGACUAUUACACAUGAGAGGCCAUGAUAAAAAAUCAACAUGAUCUCCUUAUUCGAAAAUCUGAUCACUUCCCACCUCCUCAACGUUGCUUUCUCCAUUUUCCCAUCUUCUCAAGGAACUUCAUUAUUAAUUUCCAUUUUGUCUGGGAAAAGUUCUAUCAAAGUAAGGAAUUAUAAGCGUCCUCUACCUGUUUGUCAAAAUGACUGAGUGAAGUUUUUGAACCUUCCAUGUAUGUUUGCUUUAGUUUUAGACUGUUUUAUUCAAUCAUCCUUCCAAUUAUGUUUCUAAAAAUUCAAAACAAUACAUAUAAUCCUAUCAAAUCAUUUACACAGUAGUUGAAAUUUGACAAAGAAUUCAAAUGUUUAUAUAUGUAGACAAAGAACUCAUUCGAUAACCAUUUGAAUUUUGAAAGUUGGUCUUGUUUUCUUACCAUUGAUAUUUUCCAUAAUUUUUGUUUUUACUAUAAAAACAUUUGAAUUUCCAGCUAAAUUUCAACUAAAAAGUUACUUUUUAAUUUUCUGGCCUGAAUUUUUAAAUCGUUUUUAAAAGUAGUUAGCAAAAUAAAUAAAUGUGUGAAACUAAGGUAUAUAACCUUAAUUUUCAAAAACCAAAUGUUCAAACAGUUGAAAAUUAAACCUGCUUUAAAUAAAUAAGUUAUAUGUGAAUUGAUUUGUGAGUUAGAAAAAGUUAAAGGAUGUGAGUUAAAAUGUUUAGAGUUAAUUUAAUUAGUAUGAGUUUUCAUAUUAAUUAAGUGUAGGUUUUAAAUUGUUGUGUUUAACCCGUGGUAUGAGUUAUGCUCCUGACAAUCCUAUAAAUAGGAUUGAAAUGUUGUAAUCUAAAUUAUCCAAGUGUGAGUAGAAUACACAUAAAAAAGUUACGAGUCUUCCAAUAAAGUUUGUUUUUCCUUUUAAAUAUUAUAUUUGGUAAUUAUCUAUUUGGGGUGUUAAUCAUACGCUUCCAACACAAACAAGUCCUAAACUUAAUUAGAAAAAACCAUUUGGUAUAUUUUGAUAAUGAUUUUUCACUUGAAAGAUCAAUGUCCCAUGUGUUGAGAUCACAUAUGACAUUUGCAAAUUGCAUCAUCAAGUCCAGUUUUUUAUUGAAUACUAUUUGGUUAUUUGUUUGAGUGAGUUGAAAUAGGCAGAUAAAUGAUGAUACCUCUCAAGGAUUCGGUGCCAGCAGCCCAGAACAAAGUGAAGAUUGAGAAGGUAGGAGAGUUCAAGAUGGUGUUUGUAGAGACACCAAAUAUGAGUGAGAUCCAUUGGGUUCCAGGCAGCAUUAACUCCAACAAGUAUGUGAAAGAAUCUGUUUUAUCCCCUUAUUCUCGCAUCUUUCCUCCCAUUCGUUGAUAGUUAUGGUGGUUGUAGACCAAAUUUGAGAAAGAAAGGUCAAGGAAUGAGUAGAUUUUUGAAGAUGCAUUUUGCAUUAUGCUUCACACAUCUUAAAAGAAUAUUAUUCUCUUAUAUUUUCCUCCUCUCUGUUAAGGCUAAAAAGACAGUAUAUUUUGAAGAUGCAUUAGGUACAAAAACAUCUUGAUUCUUGAAUGAAAAUGGUUUAUUGCAAAAACAGGAACUGUCUGUUUUUUUUUCUUUUGUAAUGUCUUAGGUAUUCAUUAAAAUUUUAUUCAAUUGGAUAGAUUAAUGGUUGGACGUUUAUAAUGGUGUGAAAUUUAAUUUGGAUCAAUACCCAUAAGACAAAUUCUUUUGUUUGUGUGGCUUGCCUGUUGCAUUAGUUGAGUAUGAAGGAGAACAACAUGGUUUCCGCAAGGUACAUCCUACUGCAUCUUGUAAGUGAUACUUCUAAGUUUUGGCGUUGAGGGAUAGAAUGCUAAGAUUGUGUAUUUAAUACAGGCAAAAAAUAUGUUUACCCUGGAACAACCAAUGAUGUUCUUCACACAAACAGUAGGACGUUUCCAAGUUGCAGACGAUAUUAAUUAACCUGCUCAAAAUUGACAACUUCGACUAAGGGUCUAACAUGGUGCUCAAGCAUUAUGUAUCUCAAUGCCAUGUAGAACUUAAGACAAGUGACAACAAUGAAUCAGCUAAAUAUCAUAAGCUAAGAGGUUUGGAAGAAUCCAUUGGAGUAGUGAAUUAAGUGAACUUGGAGCAAUUGAUUGUUAUAAGAUUUUUUGUAUGGUUGGUAGCAAAAUCUUGGUUCCAAUGUACUUAUUUUAGGCUUGUUGGUAGCUAAAGAUGUCAAUGUUUAUUAUUAUUUUUUUUUGUAUUUAAACUACCUUUAAUAAAAAAAAUGGUUAUUAGUCAAUCCUAGUGUACAUAUAUUACAAAGUGUA